rnacentral:rRNA from 1 species
GAUGAACGCUAGCUACAGGCUUAACACAUGCAAGUCGCAGGGUAACAUGAGGAAAGCUUGCUUUCCUUGAUGACGACUGGCGCACGGGUGAGUAACGCGUAUCCAACCUUCCCAUAACUACGGGAUAACCCGUUGAAAGACGGCCUAAUACCGUAUGACAUCGUUUGCUGACAUCAAAUAACGAUUAAAGGUUUAGCGGUUAUGGAUGGGGAUGCGUCUGAUUAGCUUGUUGGCGGGGUAACGGCCCACCAAGGCGACGAUCAGUAGGGGUUCUGAGAGGAAGGUCCCCCACAUUGGAACUGAGACACGGUCCAAACUCCUACGGGAGGCAGCAGUGAGGAAUAUUGGUCAAUGGGCGAGAGCCUGAACCAGCCAAGUAGCGUGCAGGAUGACGGCCCUAUGGGUUGUAAACUGCUUUUAUGUGGGGAUAAAGUGCGUGACGUGUCAUGCAUUGCAGGUACCACAUGAAUAAGAACCGGCUAAUUCCGUG